CGCUGGCUUUGCUCUCUGUGUCUCUAAUAAACAUCUCUCUUUGGUUCUCAUGCUUGGAAAAGGCUGUGUGUCCGCUCUCCCGUUAACCUCCAGGCAGAAGGGGAAGAACACGCAUUUCACUGCAAAAUCUGCCCACGUGAGAAAACCGUGCCAUUUUGGCAGUAGCCCUUCUGAUUUUUUUUUUUCCCCCUCUUUCCUGGGAAGCCACGGAUCGGGAGGAAAUGACAAGUGUGAUUUAUGCUUGAGCAGCUGAAGAAAAGGAGAGCGCUCGUUGGGAGGGGGUGUUUGUUGUGUUGGCGCUGCAGGUUCUGCAGGCAGCUGGAGAGCCAAACCUGAGUUGCGCGGCGAAGAUUUUUUGUUGUUCUCGCGUGGAUGUGCUCACGUUCCCGAUGCGGAGAUACGGAGCUGUGUUGGUUCUGCGCGAGUCAGUACUUCAAGGCUGGAAAGCCGUAUUUAAAAGAGAAGGCGCUCACGUGUGCCAAGUGGUGUGGGUUUUGCUUGUUUUUAAUUCUUCAGGGAAACACGUUGGCUCUGUAAAAGCUUUAUCUUGGCAAGGUUGCCUCAAUCCACGUAGGUGUUCGAGCACGAGCGAUCCUCAGAAUGAGAUGUGUCACCCAGCGUUCUCUGGCUGGUGGCUGUGUUUUUAGGGGCCCGUGGGUAUGAAAUCCGCCCUAAAAUAAAUCUCCAGACCCCCCUGAGUACUGUGUUUAUCCGGCACGUCGAUUUAAACUGCAACAAUUGAAGCAAGGUGAAUGUCACAUUUAGUUUGAGCAACCUGCUCAAGUUGUUGGAGGAAUGCUGUGCUGAAGAUCGAAGUCAGAAAUGUUUUAGAAAGUACCCGGUUGGCUUCUAGCUGGAAAUGCAAUUGUUCUCUCUUGACGGAUGAUUUCCAUGUCCAUUUCUUUUUGAAGAAGUCCACUGCCUUGGCAAAUAUUAGUUUUGGGGGGAAUGGCCACUGUAUCUAAACACAUCACGCUACUUGAAGCACGGGGGCUUUUCAGAGGGCUGCAUUCUGUUUAUCCAGCCGUUUAACCUCAUCACCAUUAGUAUUGUUGUGGUUUUCUUUUAAUUAAAUGCUGCAUUGUUUGAGGUGGGGGUGGAGGGUGGGAAAGAGGCCUUGGGUUUUUGCCUCAGUUACUCUGGGUAGGAAAACAGUAAGAAAGAGCCUUCGGUAAGAUACUAAGAAGCUGAAAACACUACUAUUCAAGUGUGUCUGAACCCGGCAUGGGGAACAUCCAGGUAUGUUUCUUUCAGCAGCAGUGGUGUUGCAGCCAACGCUGUGGUGCUUUUUUGGGGGAGGAAGGGCAGUCUCUACGGAGAACCUCGUUCAUAGGGGAAGCGCAGACCUCACGCUGGAGCGGUGAAGCGCACCUGGCUUUAAGCAGCACUUUCGGCGAAGCUGAGUAAGGACCAGUUUGAUGCUUAUUUGACAAGAAGCGGCACUGCUGGCUGGCAGUCACGUUUUCAAUACUUCAGGAACAAACUGCCCAUAAUUACAGAAGAUUGCUGCGGAUGCCGUUGCAGUUCGUGUGAAAUCUAGAGAUUGUUUGACAGAUCAAGGCAGAUGGAAAUAAGGAGGGGGGAAAGGAAAAGGCAGGGAAUUUAGAAAAUCACACAUUUUUACUGUUGAAUAAUCUCUUGAUACGUGCUAUUAAAUGUGCUGUACUCCAGGGUUCCUUUAGGCCUCCUAGCAACCGCGAGGUUCAAAGGCCAUGCGAGGAGUUCAUUGUUCAUGCUGAAUAUUAAUUUCCCAGCGGAGGGCUGACUUGGGGAAAAAAAACCAGCAGAAAAGAAAACUACAACAGCGUAGAGCUUUGACCUUGCGAGAAAAGAGAUGUUGAAAAGUUUGAAUCCAAUCAACGUUGCUGAAAAAGGGGAAAUACACUUGAUGGUUUUGAUGGAUUGUUACUUAAUUGAGGGGGAAAGAAAGGAAUCAUAUAAAACUGCCAAGCAGAAUAAAACUUGCUGAAACUCAGGAAUGAGAGCUCCAAGAAGUCACAUGAAAUAAUACGCGUAUAACUUGAAAUGUCAAAAGCUUCUUUUUUUUUUCUUUCCCCUCCUAAAUAAAGAGGGGAAAUCCUGGAUUUUCUUGCAGAGGAGAGAUGAGCUGCACGCUGUGGUUGACCCAGCUGUAAAACGUUACCAGACGUGAAGAGUGCUCCGAAAAGAAAUCCUUUUUUCCUGCAGCCUUUCCCGAGCUGUUGGAGCUGCAGGCCUUGGUGGUGGAGGCAGUGUGUCAGGUUGGGCUGGGGGUGGUGUGGGGUAACAGCCUCGCGGAUGCGGCGUGAAGGAAUGUCUGAAGAACUCUCUGCGAUGGUAAAAACUAAUGCCAGAGCUUGCUUGUCUGAAGGUUUGCCUUCUGAAAAGUUUGCGGUGACUUUAUUGCUCUUUGCUGUAAAACCUCCUUGCAGGUGCUUCAGUGCUCUGAAGCUGAACAGGAGAAUUCAGUCUCGGUGUUGCCCUACAGUUGGUGGAGCUUGGUUAGCAAGCUGAAGUAGAAGAGAGGGACGAGAAGUGCCUAACCUUGGGAAGCCUACUGAUGUUGUCUGUGUGCAGACUAUGAUUUGUAGGAGGAAAAUAUAUCCUGCUUCAGGGAUGUUUGUUGGAAGUUCUAGGGCUGCCUCUUUAGCCUUCUUGAAGAAAAUCAAGGAUUUGGGGAGUGAAAUUUGAGCAAAUUUGAGAAUCAUGAGCCACUUCUUUUCCUAAGCUUCAACUCCUGACUCUAAUAACAAUUAAUCUUUGGAGAUAACGAUGCACGAUCUGAAGAAGGCAUUUUAAUGUAAUUGGGAAAUGACAGGUAUACACAAAGCCUUGGACCUCUUGCAGUUCUCCCAUCGCUUAGUUCACUUAUCUAAGGGAGUAUGUUCUAACUUGAAAGUAGCUGUAUUGUAAUUAAUAUUUAAUGGAAUAAUCGGUAUUGCAUCACCUUUUUCUCUCCAUGUAGCAUUAAGAAACACCUUCUAACUUGUCUGCUUACCAGUAACAUGAUGUCUUUUCCUCUCUCGAUUCUGAAUAGUUUAGGUUUAGGCCAGACCCAUUCCUAGAACAGUAAAAGCAAAAAGGAGAGGGAUGCCAGGGGCUAGCAGAGAGCUGUUGCCCCUCAGCUCCUGCUCUGCCUCCCUUGCUCCAGCCUGCGCUGAGCAGCUCAACCUCAGUGGCUCAAGCUUGUUUUAAUUGCUUAGGAGAUUCUGGGCUGCCUGUGCUUUCCAGUUCAUUUUGGUCCCUGGGGCAUCUGCCUACCUUGAGAGAGAAGCAGGAACUUUCACUGGGCCUACUGUGGAGGGCGGAGGGUCUAGCUGUCCUGUCUUCAGACCACAAACUUCGCAUAAGUUCAUGGGACAGCCUUUUUUUUGCACAAUUUCUGGCUUGUUUUCUCCUCUUGGCUUCUUGCCAAAGAGAAUAUGAGACACAGUCUUCUCUGAUCACCAUUUGUGGAUUUCACUGUUGUGGUUCCUCAUGCAGCAUUAACUCCGGUAUUAACUCCGCAGUCCUGGUCCAUUCCGACCAGGCACCAGGAUGUUUCCUGCAUAUCCAUGUCACUUCACCCUCACACCAAGCUAUGGAUAGUUUCCUUUGUGUUACUUGUGCUUUCUCCCAGCUGAGUGAACCGCAUUGGAGUAGGUGUCCUUCCUGUCCGCCGUGACCUACAAGCAAGCGGAUCCAGGGCUUUUUAUUUUGUGGCAGUGCAAGUAAAAUCUAAGAGGAAUGACUGUAAGAAAGAAACAGAAGUCUGUGUGUGUGUCUAUCUCACCUAGGCCUGCUCAGGUUUCCAUCUCACUUCAAAGCACUCCUCCCUGCUGGGCUAAGUUUCAGCUUAUUUUUCUUUCCCAGCCUCCCUCACUGCUACUGGGCUCCCAGUUGCAUUCUCAGGCUCUGCAUUGUCUUUGCUCGCUCGCUUGCACCUUGGGCCAGGUCAGGGUGCACAGAGGAGACUGGGAUCAGAUCACCAAAGGGUGUUUGCACAGGGGUGGCAUCCUGUUCUGAAUCAGAAUACGUUUCCAGGUGUGUUUUCCAAUGGUCGUGUGAUUGAAGUAACUUCUUGUGUGCACAUUAGACAUCAUGAUAGCUAUUGAAGGUACAGGAGGCUCCUUUUUCAAGGACAGACAAGUGCUCAGAACAGACACGAUACUGAUUUAUCGCAAAUAGCUCCCGAGCUGUCACAGGUGCAGAGUCUACACUCUGCCUUUGCUGGCAAGUUGUGAUAAGCCUGAAGGGUGUAGAGUGUCUGGCCAUUUUGGAAUCGAAUUGCAGCUGCAUCUUUGCAAAUUGCGUUACGUGGUGGAGGAGGCUGAAAUGGGAGGAUUUUGCAGAUUACUUUGGUUUAGGCCAGCGACUGUAUCAGCUGUGGGCAAUGAGCCUUUGUUUGUAGGCAGGGAGAGUAAACCACCAUCUUUGCAAAGUUCUUCACGUGAUUAAAAGAGAGAUAAGUAAAAUCAGGUAGGAAGAAUGAAAGAAUAGCAUUUUGCUAAGCACACUGUGGAAGUCCUCCAAAAACGGGGGGAUUCUCUUCAGUGUUCUGGGGAGGUUCUUUAGGGUGACAACUGUUUUGUAAUCCGUAGCAGGUUGUAGGACGUUUCUGCGUAUAGCACUGAAGUUGAGUCAGCUUCCUGUCAUCUAAACUGUGGGCCAUGACGUCUAACCUGUAAUUGAAAAAAGAAAGACUGGAAAAAAUGUUCAGGUACGACUUAUUUGCGGCUCCUCCUGAGCCUGCUUUUAUCUCGUUGCAAAAGGCCAAGCAAUAUUAAAGUCAUAAGAAAAAAAAUGCUGAUUUAGAUCUAGCGUAAGAAUUGCUAAAUAAUCCUUUUUUCUUUUUUUUUCCCCUAGAAAAGCAUACAUUGCAUUAUUUUAAAUGGUCAGGCUGCUGCUAUGCUAUCAAAACUGGCUACUUUCAAUGGAGUAGAUGUAAACCUGAGCCAGGAAGUAAGGGGUGCCCUUUGUAAGAAGUAUCUAAGAAAUAUUUUACGCAAUUCUGUCUAAUCAUUGGGUUUUAUUUGCACUAGAAAAAAGGCAUAGAAGUAGUAGCAGUUGAAAUUGAGAUGUGAAACAAUUAAAAUCUUUCCUAAAAGUCUCAGGAGGCUGUGCACUUCUGUACCUGUCCUAGCAAGAAUUGUUGGUACUGAGGCCAGUGGCAGCAUGAGUAGUCCUAGAUACAGAUAAGGCCUGAAUACUGAAGCUGCAGAACUCUCCCAAACCAGCAUCGACUUCUCCCAGCUGCUGCCUGUAGAUAUGAGGGGGUAAUGAAAGUUGCCUAUAGGCACUGGCUUGCCCUUUCCUGCACAUCUAUUGAAGUGGCUACUCUACCAACGCUGUUUUGUGUCUUGCUCAGCGCAGAGGUGUGCUAGAAUAGCUAAAAAUGCACAACUUAGUAGAAACUUCAAGUUGGAGUGCCUAACAAAGAUAUCUUGAUCGUUUUAUUUGUUCUGGUGGGAUUUGAAAGCAGAACGCAGAAGAGGAAGGUGAGGUAGCAAAUGAAAAUACUACCUGGGGAAUUGCUUUGUAGACCUAGGUUUUGGAAGGUAGAGAUGGCUGAGUGUGGGUGUAUUGCACAUGGAAUUCAGGUAUUGUGAACAAGAAUAAAUGACUAGUUGAUCUCAUUUAUACUGUUUCCCUUUAAUGAAAAUAUCAAGAGGAGAGUUGUGAAGUGCAUCUUUGAAGUCUGACGUUACAGAGACAAAAUGAAACUUCUGCUGAUUUCUGUCUCGGUCAUCCAUUAGAGGUAUUGGUAGCUAUGCAGUAUGUUGCACGUUCUAGCGUUCAACUGAAGCAGCUUUGAAAUGGUUAAGCAGUAACUGCUGCUAAACAUCUGCAUAAAAGUUGUUCGGAUAACUUGGAAGAGCUUUAGCCCUUGCCCUUCCUUACGUUUUACUGUCAGAAAUUUAUUCUGAAAGGGUGAAAGUGCGUAUCUACCAGAGUAGAACAGAUUCCUGGACACUAACCAUCAUGUUCCCAAGCUCGAUGGUGAUUACUGUUGCAGUUUGACCAAGAUGCCAGAACUGAAGCACCAUGAGAAUCUGUUCCUCACUGUGGGUACUGUCCUCCUGUCUGCAGAGCACCUCGCACUCCUGUAUGUGGCUUGUGGAUUAGAAACCUACACUUAGUGGUCUCAAAACAGCUCUUUCUGCCACCGUUUUCUUUCCCAGUUGCAUCACUUAAGGGAAAAAUUGAAUGGCCCUUUGUAGUGAAUUUAACCUCAAUGUUUUGAAGCACAGAGAGUAUAAUAGACAAUUCAGAAAUACUUACUUAAUGUGGCUUGGAAAAGGCAAAGUUCAGUAAGAAAGCUCAGUUCAUCAUAACACAGGAAGCAGCGCUGGGAGAGCCCAGAUUACAUAAACUACUUUUCGUGCCCAUUUGUGUUCUUUUAAUUUCCUCCAUAAUUUCCUAUGAAUUUCCUGUCGAUGACCUGUGACCUGGUUUCACAGGAUGAACAUAGGUGAUAAGGCUUUAGGUGUCGUAAAUGGGGCUGCUUAUCUUACAGGCAAGGGAAGAUGGUGGACUGAAUUUCAGCAUGGUGCCCAAAGGGACCUUCAGCCUCUUGUGUUAACUUCAAGGUAGGGUGACAAACACAGGGACUGGAUCACACCGCUGGAGUGCAGCCUGGCUUUUCUCCCAACUGUUCACUCACAAGGCACACAGCUUCAGCAGUGAAAUCUUGAAAUCAUGUUUGCAUGGGAUCUCUGCAUUAGAGUGGAUGUGGUUGGAAUGUUUUCACCAAAAAAAAAAAGAAAAAUCAGAAUUAAAAAAAUAUAUAUUUUUCUUCAUUUUUCCAUCUGCUGUAGUGAAGUUUCAGUGUUUGAACGACUUGUUAGGACUUCUCUGGAAAGAAAUUGUACCUAUCUCAAAAUAAAACAUUUUGCAUAUUUUUACUAAAAUUACUAGACAUUUUCCUUUGAGUCAAUCUUAGGUUCAGUUUGUGGAAUGAGAGUAGAAUAGAAUAGAAUAGAAUAGAAUAGAGUACAGUAGAAUAGCAUGGCUCAGUUGGAAGAGACCUACAGAGAUAACCAAGUCCAACUGCCUGCCCACCUCAGGGCUAACAGAACGUUAAGGCAUAUUUACUGAGGGCACAAUCCAUUUAAUUCUGCAUUUAUUUGCAGAAAUAUUCCUCAGUAACUAUGACUGUCAAACUAAGGUGUCUCUUGGAAACCUCAGAUUAGAAAGCAUGUUUGUAAUUACUGCUUUUCACAAAGCAGAACGUUGCUUAUUUUAAAAACAUGUACAAUAAGUUUUCAUUAGAUACGCAGUCUGCUGUGUUGCCCUAUCCAGCACAGUAAGCGAUUGGUCAUGCAAGCUUACUUAUUACAUUUUAUGUGUUGCUGAACAUUAUGUGUCGUGGAAGUGGUCUCUGUACAUCUUCACUAAUUGUCAUACACUGGAAUGCACGCUAAGUCCACAGGGUCCAGUUCUGUCUGUAAUGGGAAAGUGCACAAAUCUUUGACUGCUCAGGCAGGAACCUUAUGUGUACUUUUUGCUGCCACUCUUCCCUGGACGAUAGAUGUACCUGUAUCUCUUGCAUGUAUCCUUUGCCUGCAUCAGGGAAUUGUAAAGGCUGAGGAGGGAAUAGCUGUAACUGCUGAGUGAUGCUCCCUUUAAAUUGAAAUUUGCCUUUGAAUAAGGGUCGUAGAUGGGAGAGGUGGGGAAAGUGGGACAGGCUAACCAGAAACAAGGGCAGAUGUGAUGGCAGCGAACAAAAAUAAUCAGUGUCAGUGCAUUUCUGUUGUGCUAGAGCCUGCUUGAGUCCUGUGUUGUGGCCAUGAGAAGUAGGUUUCCUCAGCUCACCUUUAGAUUUCAAUGUAAGUCAUUUAGCUAACUGGAUUUAAAUUAGAACUAUUGCUCCUUCACUUGAGUGUCUCUGAGCUCAUUUCAAAGGCUAAUAAUUGAUCUAAGUCUUUUCUGCCUAUCAGAUAAUAACCUCAUUCAGUUUCUGUCCUGUUGCUGAUUGUUCCGAGUAUGCAAUGCAACAAUACAGUGCACUCAGCUUUGCAUGAUUAUCCCUUUUCAUCCUAGUAGUUCUCCCUUCUUUUAUGUCUUCCAGAAAUGUAUGAAAGUAAAAUGAAGUGUUUCACUGUAGCACGCCUUUAAAUAUUGUAAAGGUAAGUUUAAAAAGUUGAGGAAAACAGCUUUACCUUCCCGUGUUGUUGUAAUUCAUUCACUAGCUAAUGGGGCAGUUGAAUCGGGUAGUAUAUUUCAAACAGUACUAAAGCAUACAAAUUGAUGUUGGCUGUUAGAUUCUACUCAUGGGUUGGUGUCAAACGAAGGUCUGUAAACACUGAGACAAAACUGUAUAGUGCAGUGGCCCUUAGGAGCUGUCAUUUAUCUCUAGUACAAAACCCAGCUUCUCAGAUUGGAGUAUUUUACCUGGGUAUUGUAUUUCUAAAUAAAUGCAUUAUGUGUUCAUUGUGCACAGUGUUAGAAGGGCUACGUCACGGGGACCAGCAGGACGAAAAAAAUCUGAAAGCACUUGGGAGUAUGUUGCCAUACAGUGAUGUUUUUCGAAGCAAAGUGCAGGAGCUGGACGGAGCAUGGAAAGGACAAUAAGGCUGUCUAGUUAGAAGAGAUAGACAAGAAGAUUGGUGUGAAAACUGGGGUUUCUGUGCUGACGUAGCAAAGAAAUGUUAAUGUUUUAAUCACGGGUGAGAACCUGAGAGUGGUUGUAUCAGGCAAGACCAAUGUCUGUCUUGCUCUCUGUGCUGUGUCCUAGUAUGGCCACAAACAGGUGUCCAGGAAGAGGGAAGAAGAAAGCAAUAUGGUACUUCCCCUGCAUGCUUCCCUGUCUCCAGCUGUUUCAGGCGGUGCAGUUUGCUUGGUAAUCCUCACAGGUUUCUUUCCCAGGUACUAUCUAUGGUACAUGCGGAAAAUUUAGGGCAGCGACAAAUGCUUGCCUAAUGUAUGAGGAGCUGCCCUGUGACAGCCCUAAGUUUUGUGCGUUAUCAGUGCCAUUCUUGCAUUGAGUCUCCUCCUGCCCUGCUUUGCAGUAUUUCUCACAAGGGAGGAAUGUAUGCGCUUGUGAAGAAGGCUUUGAGGUUCUUGGUGGUGAAUAACAACAUAUUGGCUGCUAGCUUGGGAGGCAACAUCAGUUUUCUUUCUCUAAAUACAACGCACAUGUACUCCAGAGUCCUGAAACUGGAAUAUCAAUAAUGUGCAUGUCAUCACGCAUUCUCUUUUUACGUAAGAUAGCUUGCGAGGUCAUGAAAGGAGCAUUUCUUCAUUAUUUCUGUGAUUCCACUUAUCCCUGCUUUCAAUUAGUUUUAUUCCCUUAGUUCCCUUCCCUUCCCGUCUCAUCUCAAAGGUGACACAUGCCUAGAUGAAAGGCUUGCAUUAAGCAGAAGCUUCUUGUUACAUCAACUCUUGACAUUCCGAAAAUGUCAACUCUUAAUUUACAUUGCAAGUAGGAUCUGGUGCCAAGACAUUACCAGUUUCCAAGUCUUCCACUUAUUAAUCAGUCCCAAAUCAAAACUGCUGUUGUCCUGAGAAAGUACUACAGAAUUGGAUCCAAAAGUUUCAUGCCUCUGAGGUAUCCCUUUUCCUUGUUUUAGAGUUACUGGCUGACUCACGAGGUAAGAAGCGAUUGUUCAGCUAAUAGGUGAAGACCAUAACUUUUCUGCUGUGACUUUCUGAGGUUGUGACAUGUUGGAUGUCUCAGUAAAGGCAGUAAUUUUCACAGAAGAUGGAUGUUCAGCAUCUUUGAAGGCUGGUAAAUGAAACUGUGCAGGUUUUAAAAUCCACUUAUGUGGUUUUGCAUCUGGGCCUGAACUGACCUUGUAUGCUUGGCAGUUAAGCUAUCUUUGAAAAUGGUUCCAAUGUGUUGAGCUUUUCAGUUGCCACCAUCUCUCUACAGAGGUGCUAAGACAGUGAUCUUGUAUAUGCAUCAAAUUUGUAUCUCUAAGCCCCAUUAAUUCACAGACCUGCAUCACAGAAAUGUGUUUUCCAAAAUAGGUUUUGGGUGUAUAGUGCAGAUGAGGCUGGUGGGGAUGACAGUGACGCUUCCCCUGUCACACAGUGAGCUGCUGUACAUGUGCCAUGGGCCUUCAUGGAAAAGGUAAAAGUUACGUUUGUGUGAAUAUUUAUAUGCACGUAAACAUAUUAAAGCAUACAGCAUAAAUGGCAUUUAUGUAGGUUAUAAAUCAUUUUACCUUAUACUGUAUUUUAUCUUCCAACUUCUGCUGAAUUUUUAUAUCUCACUCGUUAGGGUAGCAUCACUAUAUGUCUGUUUCACGUGUUCUGUGUGGGGAGACCGUAUUUUAUACCAACCUGACUGUAUUGUGUUUAUGCUUGGCCUACAUCUGCAGGUGUUUAAUUUAGAUGUGCAUGCUGUUAGUAAUUGUAAUUGAUGCUGUAGACAUUUUUCCUUGCAAGACUGAAAUACAGACACUGGAAAAACAAUGCAAACGGUAGAAAAUAAAUAGAAUGCAGAAUGG
rnacentral:lncRNA from 1 species